rnacentral:lncRNA from 1 species
AUAAAAAUCAGUUAUUUGACUGGUUCAUCUCUUUCUUCAUUUUCUCUUUGGUUCAAUUUAUCAACAGACAAAGAGUCUUCAGAUUGAUUAUUUUAGGUAGAGAUCAGGAAGCAACAUCGAGCAAGCUGUUGAUCUCUAUGUAUUUCUCUGACUCUAUUUUUUGAUAAAAAUCAGAUCAGUAAGUGAUAUGUUGAGAUUACUGCUCUCAGGGUAUUAAGCCC